GAGGGUACAGCUCAGCAGUAGAGCAUGUGCUUAGCAUGCACAGGGUCCUGGGUUCAACCCCCAGUAUCGUCA
rnacentral:tRNA from 1 species